rnacentral:rRNA from 1 species
UACAUGGGGUGCAAACGUUGCUCGGAAUUAUUGGGCGUAAAGCGCGCGUAGGCGGUUACUUAAGUCGGAUGUGAAAGCCCUCGGCUUAACUGAGGAAGUGCACCCGAAACUGAGUAGCUAGAGUACGAAAGAGGGUCGCGGAAUUCCCGGUGUAGAGGUGAAAUUCGUAGAUAUCAGGAGGAACACCGGUGGCGAAGGCGGCUUUCUGGACAGAAACUGACGCUGAUGCGCGAAAGCUAGGGGAGCAAACAGG